rnacentral:rRNA from 1 species
CAGCAGCCGCGGUAAUACGAAGGGGGCUAGCGUUGUUCGGAAUUACUGGGCGUAAAGGGCGCGUAGGCGGCCAUUCAAGUUAGAUGUGAAAGCCCUGGGCUCAACCUAGGAAUUGCAUUUGAUACUGUUUGGCUUGAGUUCGGGAGAGGUGAGUGGAAUUCCCAGUGUAGAGGUGAAAUUCGUAGAUAUUGGGAAGAACACCAGUGGCGAAGGCGGCUCACUGGACCGACACUGACGCUGAGGCGCGAAAGCGUUGGGAGCAAACAGGAUUAGAUACCCCUGUAGUCCCUGUCUCUUAUAC